GCUCAAAAAAUAUAGAUUCCACUAACAAUAUUGUUUGUGGCAUUCCUUUAGAGAUUUUAAAAUUUAACAUUACUAUGAAUCAUUUGUUGAGCUCUUAUAUGGUGAGCUUGCUAUUGAAAGCAGUGCCUUUAGGAUAGCUAAAAAAAUAAAUGAAUAUAGUUUUGUGUUGUGUAUUAAUUUGAGCUUAAAAUCGAUCGUCACGUUUGUUCUUUCUUCUUGGAAUGUUUUGCAAAAGAAUGCACUGGUCUAUUUGAUGUUGAAUUUCAACAAUAGAUAUUGAAAUACCCAAUGGGAUAAAGGAAAAUAAAGAAGAAAAACAUUUUCAAACAAAUGAUUAGCUUCGUCAACUUUGUAAUGCAUUAGUUCAUUUUCAAUUAAUUAUAACGUCACUUGUCCACUAUUUAAAUCAUAGUUUAUUUAUUUGAGGUUGAAAAUCGUGCCAAUAUUUCUUGGACACUCAAAUAUCUUCUUGCAAUAGUUGGAUAGUCAAUAUUGAUUUAAUUCAAGAAAAAAACUGAGUGAAAUUAAUCCAACAUAUGAUAAAGUUCAAUUUGGAUUAUUGGACACUAUAUUCUCAAAAGCCUUCAAUGAAAUAAAAAAGAGAAGAGCUCCAAUAUCAUGAAUUUUUUGAAAAUUAAAGGAAAUUCUUCUUUAAAAUUCAAAUAAUUUAUAUAUUAUGAUUUAGUUUUUAAGAUUUUUUAGAAAAUGCGAAGUACUACUCCUUCUAUAACUUAAUGUUACAAAGCGAGAGAAAAAUACAAAAAAAAAUUAUAAUUUAAUUUUAAUGUUAGUAUUGGACACGGGCUUAGCACGGGUCAAGUGACACUAAUAUAUAUAUAUAUACACACACACACACUCACUCACAGAGUCACAGAUUUAUAACUUAUGUAAGAUGUCAAAGAUAUUUUAGUUAUUUUAACAAUAGAUCAACUUAUUUAACUUAUUUUUACUAAACAAAUUAAUUAUUUAUUAUCAGUCUCAGUACUUAUAUCCGAACACGUAACUGCUUAUUUAUAAAAAUCAGUUUCAAUGCCUAAAACUUAUCAGCUACUUAUAAUCAACUUACCCAAACAUACUCUAAGUUAUAUACACUAAAUUUUACAGUAUGAUGUCUCAUGUAGCAAGCACCUUGCCUUAUUGUCAAGAUUAUAAAUCUCACUUUUUAUAGGAGGUUUAGUUGUCAAUAUCCUUUAAAGAGUUUAAGUUCUACGCAGUGACACUUUAAAAUAUAUUUAUACAAUCAUGUCAUUUAUUAAAUAAUUACAGAUAAAUUUCAUGAUAAGUAUUCAAUCUUGAUUUCCCUGUCAAGUACCUAUUGGGUCAAAAUUGUGAUCAUCCCCCAAUGUUGUGUGUUGGCUAUUGAUUUUGAUUAUCCAUUAAAAAAAAAAAUCAAAUUUUAAAGUUUUAUUUACUUGUUUUGCCUAUUAUUUUUUCCAAAACAUUUGUAGGCAUGAAUCAAAAUUUAUUGGAAGUAUUAUAAAACAAGUCCAACAAGAGGUCAAGUACCAGACACCCCUAGAUGUUGCUUUGCAUCCAGUUGGAGUAGAUUUUUGUGUUGAAGAUAUAGAGUUGUUACUGCAAACUGGAUGUGUAGAUGAAGUUCGCAUGAUUGGUAUAUAUGGGGUUGGUGGAAUUGGAAAAACAACUCUGGCAAAGGCUAUUUACAACCGAAUGUUUCGACACUUCGAUAGUAGUUGCUUCCUUUCAGAUGUUAGAUCAAAAGUUGAAGAAUUGGGUCUAGUCAAGCUGCAAGAGAAGUUACUUCAUCAGAUCCUCAAAACUAAGGACUUCGAAGUUGAUAUUGUUGCUGAAGGUGUCAAUCUAAUCAAAGCAAGACUUGAGUCAAAAAAGGUUCUAAUUAUUCUUGAUGAUGUGGAUCAUAGAAGUCAAUUAGAAUCCUUAGCAAGAGAAAGAAGUUGGUUUGGUUCAGGUAGUUUAAUAAUUAUUACAACCCGCGAUAAGCAAUUGCUAUGUGGGCUUAGAGAAAAUGAGAGAUACAAGGCCAAACUAUUACAUCCAUAUCAGUCUCUGCAACUUUUUUCUUGUCAUGCUUUUAAAAGUCUUUCUCCACCACAAGAAUAUGAUGAGCUGGCACAAGACGUAAUCAAAUAUUCAGGUGGGCUACCAUUAGCUCUUGUGACAUUGGGGUCACAUUUGCAAGGGAGAUCCAUAGAAGAAUGGAGAUACGAGUUCAAAAAACUGAGAGCAAUUCCUCAUUGUGAUAUUCAAAAGAUUCUCAAGAUAAGCUUUGAUGGACUUGAUUGUGAUACUCAAGAUGUUUUCCUUGAUAUCGCGUGCGCCUUCCAUGGAUUUCCUAAGGAUGAAGUUACCAAAACAUUAAAUGCAUGUGGUUUUCAUACUGAAAGUGCAAUUUUAACAUUAGUCCAAAGACACUUGCUCGACAGGGUUGUGGAUAAUUUGACGAUGCAUGAUUUAGUGCGGGAUAUGGGAAGAGAAAUCGUUCGCAUGGAGUCACCUCGAGAUCCUGGAAAACGAAGUAGACUGUUCAACCCUCAAGAAGUCUGUGAUGUUCUACAAGGAAAUAAAGGUACCAAGAAAGUAGAAGUACUGAUGAUAGAUUCACGGGCAUUAAAGGUGUGAACUUGAGCACCAAAGCAUUUAAGAACAUGAAAAAUCUUAGGGUGCUUAAAAUUGAUGCAUCACAUAUUAGUGGAGAUUUUAAGCUUUUGUCCAAGGAGCUCAGAUGGUUGUCUUGGCAAAAAUGUUCUUUAAAAUAUAUACCAUCAAAUUUUCCGGCUGAGAAACUUGUAGUUCUGGAUAUGCAAGGGAGUAAUAUCCAAGAAUUUGGUUUGAAUUUGCAGUGUUGUAAAAGUCUGAACAAGCUGGAUCUUUCUUAUUGUAAGAAGCUCAAAAGAACUCCGAACUUCAAUGGUUCACGCAGUCUCAAGACUUUGAGGUUUCGUGAUUGCUCAAAUCUGACGGAGAUCCAUCAAUCUAUAGGAAGUUUGAGUCGGCUAAUUUAUCUAAAUUUGGAUGGUUGCAAAAAGCUUACGGAUCUUCCGAGCAGCAUAUGCAAGCUAAAAUCCCUUGAAUCCUUGAAGAUUUGUUGGUGCUCAUCUUUACAAACACUGCCAGUUGGCGUUCGAGAUAUGGGAGGUCUAAAUACUCUUAAUGCAGCUUAUGCGGGUAUAACUCAAUUGCCUGUUGAAAUGCCAAGAAAUCUUGUACAGUUGGAAAUAAGAGGUCAACAUUUAGAGGCCAAAGCGGGUUUUUCUCGAAGAAGAGUCUAUCGUGUGGGAUCCUUGCCAACUUGUGUUUGUUGUAAAAGUUUGAAGGUGUUGGAUCUCUCUAAUUGCAAGCGCCUCAGAAGAACUCCGAACUUUAAUAGUUCACGAAGUCUCGAGACUCUGCGGUUUCAUGGUUGCUCAAGGCUGAUGGAGAUCCAUCCAUCAAUUGGCAAUUUGGACAGACUAACUGAACUGUACUUGUAUGGUUGCAAAAAGCUGAUGGAUCUUCCGAGUAGCAUAUGCCAGCUAAAGUCCCUUCGACUCUUGAAUAUUCAUAGGUGCUCAUCUAUACAAACACUACCGGUUGACCUUGGAGAUAUCCGAGGUCUAAAAUAUCUUAAUGCAAGUUGUACUGGUAUAAAACAAUUACCUGGAUCUGUUAAAAUGCUAAGAGAUCUUGUAUAUUUAGAAGUGGGAGGUGAGGCCAAAAGGAGCUUUUCUCGAAAGAGAGUCCAUUGCAUACAGUCCUUGUAAGGCUUACAUACUUUAAAUUGUCUGAGGCUGAUAUUCCUAGGGAUAUUCGGAGUUUAUCCUCCCUGAGAUGUUUAGACUUGAGCGGCGACAGUUUUCUCUGUCUACCCUUUGGUUCUGUUGAGUUACGAUUCUUGGAGUACUUGUGUUUGAACAACUAUAAGAAUCUUCAGACAAUCCCAUUAGUAUCAAAUUUAGAAAAUCUUGAGUUUUAUGAAAUUGGAAAUUGCAAGAAGUUGGUCGACAUUACAGGGUUGGACAACCUCCCUUCUAUAGAGCAGCUCAACAUGCUUAAUUGUAAUGCUCUGCAGCAUCCGUUCAAUGAAGGCUUCUUUAGUGCAUUCCAAUCUAGAAAAAAUUGGAAUCUGGGGUUAGAUAUUUAUCUACAAAGCAAUGAGAUUCCAGAUUGGUGCAGCAACCAAGUUACAGCUCCGUCUAUCUGCUUCAUUAUGCCCAUGCAUAAUAAGGAGUAUCAGUUUUUAGGGAUGAUUGUCUGGUGUGUUCGCAAGUUUGUCAAUGUACCCUCUUCUGGUCCAUGGAAAGGCUUGGGGUUUAGUAUUGCAGGAAAAAUGUUUCCAGAUGUCUUCUCGCAUGAUGAUAAUGAAUUACCUGCUGGACACGUGGAACUAUCAUUUGUAUUUUACAGAUCUUACACGCAAAGACCUUUUGAUGGCCAGAUGAAAUGCGGAGAAAAAAUGGAAGUCUUCGAGGUGGGCAUAGAAAAUACAGUAAAGAAGAUAGGGAUCCAUUUGUUAUAUUUAGACCAACAAGGUUAAGUUACAUCUUUACCAGCAAUAGUGGAUCAAUCUCAUUCUCAGAUGAAGAGAAGCCGGGAGAUAAGUGACAGAGUCUCAAUGGAAAAGAACCCAAAAAGAGUUUCAACAGAGCAUAUCAACUCAACCCUUGAUGAAAAAGCCAAGUUUUGAAUGCCUGAGUCAAUGUAGUUUUCCAAAUUGAACUAAUCAUGGUGUCUUAUACAUGACAAUAUUAGUCCUAUUUAGUGGGUCAAACAAUGUAUAAUUGACUACGAUAUUUUCAAA